GUGUGUCUGCGAUCCUUUCCCUUUAAAUUGCCCAUGCUGCGGAAAAAGUAAGGAGUGGUGUAGUCUGGUGUAUGUGUCCCAGCCCAGUCGUCCGCACCAGUCUUUUGUAUGCACAGCGUUGCUUGACUGCAGAUUUCAUUUUAACGCUUUAACUAACCGACUAAUGACAAUUUGCCGUAAGAGAAAAGCCGCGGCAGACCGACUGAACCUGGAAAACAUAGGUUGCUGCAUUUAGGUGGUCUGCUGCGUCUUGCAUCCAAUUAUCGGCGCACGAUACCGGUGGGCAGCGGCAUUAGGGGCGGAUACAGAAGCAGAAGAACCUCAAGCAUCAUGUGUGUGUGGCCAAAAGAUGGCGUCAAUCCAGCCAGCACAUGCCAAUGGAUAUGAUCAAUUUGGCUUAUUCUUGCACCUUUGAAUUUUAGAGGAGGUGCUCAUUGCUACUUUGGUUUAGAAGCCACGUCACCGAAUUUUUUCUGUGUCUCCUCACGACAACCUGCUGUAGAGACCGAGAACCGUCGGGGGGAGGCGAGGACACACCCGCACCGUACCGCGUUCUUCCCCCCUCCUCCUGCGCCAGGAUCAUGCUCCCAGUGCGCCGGUAGCUGCUGCAGAACACGCCAGGACCUGGAACCUGGGAAUAUAUAUAUGAAUAUUUUGGGAUACAUUUCCAUAUGAGUUCGCGGACACCUUCGUCGCUACUGAAGGAUAUUUUCAUUUUUGGCACCGGUCCGCGUCCCGCCGUGGCCAGGUGGCGUGGCUUUGAUAAAGAAGUUUAUUUGCAGGGCUUUUCUUUGUGACAUCCUGUGGCCCUCGGCUCUCUACGGUGUUGAGCCCCCCCCCUCCCCAACGCCCCCCC